AAUAGCAAUGCCCAAAAUUUUCACACAGAGGAUCAAGAUGUAGGGGGAGAUCGGAUCUCCUUGUCGUCAACCUCUACCUAAUUUGAAAAUUUUUGAAAAAUAGCUAUUUUGAAUAACGCAGGCUUCAGAACCAUAUUGGAAGAUGUGAAUCCCUUGGACUCGGAGAAGUUAAUGUGGAGCUGAGGUCGCAUGAUUGUAUGAUUGCCAGUCGUUGCAACUACCACCCAAGGAGGCCUAUAGGAAUCGAUAUAUCGGCACGCAGCGUAAUUACCGGCAUAAAGAUACACUGCGAAUUCAAGAAUGAUGCUUGGGAAAGCGGACGACUGAGAGAGGAACCUGCAUCGGGGAGGAAAGUGAGAGAGGAAUUUGCAUCGGGGAGGAAAGUGGGACAGGAAACUGCAUCGGGGAGUAAAGUGAGAGAAGAACCUGCAUCGGGGAGCAAUCGUGAUCUCGAUCACCGCCCGCUCGAUGGAACCUUCUCCUCUUUCUUCUGCUUCUUCUCGUCCUCCUUCUCUUUCUCCUGCUCCUUCUCUUCCUCG